AGCGAACGCUGGCGGCAGGCCUAACACAUGCAAGUCGAACGGUAACAGGCCGCAAGGUGCUGACGAGUGGCGAACGGGUGAGUAAUGCAUCGGAACGUGCCCAGUCGUGGGGGAUAACGCAGCGAAAGCUGUGCUAAUACCGCAUACGAUCUGGGGAGGAAAGCGGGGGACCUUCGGGCCUCGCGCGGUUGGAGCGGCCGAUGUCAGAUUAGGUAGUUGGUGGGGUAAAGGCUCACCAAGCCAACGAUCUGUAGCUGGUCUGAGAGGACGACCAGCCACACUGGGACUGAGACCCGGCCCAGACUCCUACGGGAGGCAGCAGUGGGGAAUUUUGGACAAUGGGCGCAAGCCUGAUCCAGCAAUGCCGCGUGCAGGAAGAAGGCCUUCGGGUUGUAAACUGCUUUUGUACGGAGCGAAAAGGCUCCCUCUAAUACAGGGGGCUCAUGACGGUACCGUAAGAAUAAGCACCGGCUAACUACGUGCCAGCCGCCGCAGUAAGAC
rnacentral:rRNA from 1 species